rnacentral:rRNA from 1 species
GACGAACGCUGGCGGCGUGCUUAACACAUGCAAGUCGAGCGGUAAGGCCCUUCGGGGUACACGAGCGGCGAACGGGUGAGUAACACGUGGGUGAUCUGCCUCGCACUUCGGGAUAAGCCUGGGAAACUGGGUCUAAUACCGGAUAUGACCUUUCAGUGCAUGCUGUUGGGUGGAAAGAUUUAUCGGUGCGAGAUGGGCCCGCGGCCUAUCAGCUUGUUGGCGGGGUAACGGCCCACCAAGGCGACGACGGGUAGCCGACCUGAGAGGGUGACCGGCCACACUGGGACUGAGACACGGCCCAGACUCCUACGGGAGGCAGCAGUGGGGAAUAUUGCACAAUGGGCGGAAGCCUGAUGCAGCGACGCCGCGUGAGGGAUGACGGCCUUCGGGUUGUAAACCUCUUUCGACAGGGACGAAGCGCAAGUGACGGUACCUGUAGAAGAUGCACCGGCCAACUACGUG